AAUAAUUAAGAAUCUAAAGGAAAUCGAGGAGUUGGAUAAGAGUCUUUAUAAAGAAGGACUCUUCCACUUCUCAAUGCAAUUAAGGAGGGGGCCACAUUUAUUUUUGGAUGUGAGACCUGAUGGGCAUAGAGGACUCUUUCCAUACUUGAAACACUUCCAAGUUGGAUAAGAAUUAAAUUAAAAUAGACCCAAUCCCAUU
rnacentral:lncRNA from 1 species